rnacentral:rRNA from 1 species
UACGUAGGUGGCAAGCGUUGUCCGGAUUUACUGGGCGUAAAGAGCGCGCAGGCGGUCGUCCAAGUCGCGUGUGAAAGCCCCCGGCUCAACUGGGGAGGGUCACGCGAUACUGGUCGACUCGAAGGCAGGAGAGGGUAGUGGAAUUCCCGGUGUAGUGGUGAAAUGCGUAGAUAUCGGGAGGAACACCAAUGGCGAAGGCAGCUCGCUGGGACGUGACUGACGCUGAGACGCGAAAGCGUGGGGAGCGAACAGG